AAUUUCAUAGAUAGAUCGGGUGAAUUUUAAGGUUUUUUAUUUGACUAUUUACGAUAAAUUCUCGAUUAAAAAAAAGGACAAAAAUUGAAAAUAGAAAAUAGAAAGAAGAAGCCCUACCGGCUUUCCUUCUUCAACUCAACUCAGUCAGCAGAGCUCCAUUUCUCAGCUCCAAUGGAUCUCUAACACUUUCUACAUUUUCCUUCUCUUCAUCUCGGCCGUCCAAUUUCUCGAUUCAGAAAAUGAUACAAAAAUCAACGGCGUUGCUUCCAUCUCCGUUCACAUUCCGUUCAUCUCACUCAAUUUCCCUCUUCUUCAUCAAAUCCAUCACUUCUUCUUCUUCCUCCAUUAACCACCAUCUCCUCUCCAUCCUUUCAAACCCAAAUUGGCGAAAACACCCUUCUGUCAACACACUUAUUCCUUCUUUAUCCCCUUCUCAAUUCUCUUCUUUCCUUUCACAAAACCCAAAUCUUAACCCCCACAUUGUAAUCUCCUUCUUCGAUUAUCUAUCUACCCGAAAUACCCCUUUAUUCAAACCCAACCCUCAAUCUUUCGCACCCCUUUUACGCAUUUUGAUUUCCAAUAACCUCUUCCGGGUCGCUGAAAGAACCCGAAUUUCCAUGAUUAAAUCUUGCGAAACCCGUGAUGAUGCUGUUUUCGUGAUGGGUUUUGUCCUGGAGAUGAGGUGCAGGUUCAAGAUUGAUGUUUGGGGUUAUAACAAGUUGUUAAUGUGUUUAUCGAGGUAUGUUAUGAUUGAGGAUAUGAAAUGUGUGUAUGAUGAGAUGUUGAGUGAUAUGAUUAAGCCUGAUAUUUAUACUUUUAAUACAAUGAUUAAUGCUUAUUGUAAAUUGGGUAAUGUUGUUGAAGCUGAUUUUUAUUUGAGUAAGAUCUUGCAAGCUGGUUUGAAUCCGGACACACACACGUAUACGUCGUUUGUAUUGGGGUAUUGUAGGAGAAAUGAUGUGAAUAGUGCUUUUAAGGUGUUUAAGGAAAUGUCUAAGAAGGGUUGUCGAAGGAAUGUGGUUUCGUAUAACAAUUUGAUUCAUGGGUUGUGUGAAGGGGGGAGGAUUGAUGAGGGGAUGGAGUUGUUUUUAGGAAUGGGAGAUGAUGGUUGUUAUCCGAAUGUUAGGAGCUAUACGAUUCUGAUUGAUGCGUUGUGUGGAUUGGAUAGGAGGGAAGAAUCAUUGCGCUUAUUUGAUGAGAUGAAGGAGAAGGGCUGUGAGCCGAAUGUUCAUACUUACACUGUGCUCAUUGAUGGCUUGUGUAAAGAGUUUAAGCUUGAUGAAGCGAGAGAGUUAUUGAAUGUGAUGUCGGAAAAGGGAUUAGUUCCGAAUGUGGUGACAUACAAUGCUUUGAUUGAUGGAUACUGUAAGAAAGGUUUGGUUGAUGUUGCGUUAGAUGUUUUUGACACGAUGGAAUCCAAUAAUUGUAUCCCGAAUGUGCGUACGUACAAUGAAUUGAUUUCUGGCUUUUGUAUGAUAAAGAAGGUGCAUAAGGCAAUGGCACUACUUGAUAAGAUGAUUGAGCGCAAACUGUCUCCUAGCAAAGUCACUUUUAACUUGUUAAUUGAUGGACAGUGUAAAGAGGGUGAAAUAGGUAGUGCAUUUAGGUUGCUUAGAUUGAUGGAAGAGAAUGAUUUGGCUCCUGAUGAGUGGACUUAUUGUACUCUGGUUGAUGGCUUGUGUGAAAGAGGCAGAGUUGAAGAGGCUUCCACCAUUUUUAGUUCUAUGAAAGAGAAGGGUAUAAAGGUUAAUGUUGCGAUGUGCACUGCUCUCAUUGACGGAUAUUGCAAAGCUGAAAAAGCUGAUUAUGCUUUGACAUUGUUUAAGAAAAUGAUUGAGGAAGGUUGCUCUCCAAAUGCAUACACUUAUAAUGUGCUAAUUAAAGGGUUAUGUAAGCAGGGUAAGCAGCUGGAAGGAGACCAAUUACUUAAAAUGAUGCCAGGAAGUGGUGUUAAACCCACAAUUGAAUCCUACAGUAUCUUGAUUGAGCAACUACUAAAAGAAUCUGCCUUUGGCCAAGCUUAUAAGGUUUUUCAUUUAAUGGUUUCCACUGGACACAAACCUGAUGUCUGCAUUUACACUUCGUUUCUGGUUGCAUAUUACAAUGAAGAGAAAUUGAAAGAAGCAGAGGACGUGAUGGAUAAGAUGGCAGAGGCGGGAGUUAUGCCAGAUGUGAUGGCCUAUACAGUAAUGAUUGAUGGCUAUGGUCGUGCAGGAUUAUUGAAUCGAUCCUUUGAUGUGCUAAAAUUUAUGGUUGAUGCUGGUCAUGAACCUUCUCAGUACACUUACUCCAUUUUGAUCAAACAUUUGUCCCAAGGAGGACUUGAUAUCAAAACUGAGGCCAGUUCCAUUAAUAUUGCUGAUGUGUGGAAAGUGGUGAAAUAUGAAACUUUGCUUGAACUCUUUGAUAAAAUGGUGGAACAUCGCUGUCCUCUAAAUACAAACACUUUUAGUUCGCUUACUACUGGACUCUGUAGAGAAGGACGACUUGAGGAAGCUUCGAGAUUACUUGAUCAUAUGCAGAGUUUUGGAAUAUCUCUUAGUGAAGAUAUAUAUACCUCAAUGGUAAAUUGUUGUUGCAAGUUGAAAAUGUAUGAGGAUGCAGCAAGGUUUCUUGACACUAUGCUUACGCAAGGUUUUUUACCACACUUAGAGUCAUACAAGCUCCUUGUGUGUGGGUUGUAUGAUGACGGAAACAAUGAGAAAGCUAAGAUGAGCUUCUUCAGGCUUCUUGGUUGUGGGUACAAUAAUGAUGAAGUAGCUUGGAAACUUCUAAUUGAUGGCUUACUUAAGAGAGGACUUGUAGAUAGAUGUUUGGAGUUGUUAGAUAUCAUGGAGAAGAAUCAUUUUCGACUCAGUGACCAUACAUAUUCAUUGCUACUAGAGGGACUUGAUAGGACAAACAAUGAAUAAAGCUAUUUAGUUAAUGGGGAUUUUUCUUUUCAAGAAACCACUUCAGAGUCAUCACAUAGUAUAUGCAGCUACUCCUGAGAGGCACUAGUCCAAGUGAGUCAGAUAUACAACCAUUAUGCAUGGUUAGGCAUCUCCUGGUGAUAUUGGAACAACUUGUGAAUAUUUUGCAAAAGUUAAAAAUGAGGAUUUGGAGCUUGACAUGUAUAAAAAUGAGGCAUUACUCAAGGCAUGCUUAAAUCAGACUGGAUGCGAAGUGCUUUGGCCGUGACAAAAGAAAUGAGUGCUAAAAGCAUCCCCAGGAAUACCUUUGUAUAUAGCAUAUUAAUUGACAGGUAUGGCUAGUGUUACAGCUGAUGUGUACCUGCUUAUCAUACUACUUUGUUUUCAGGGUAGCUUACAAUAUAUGCUUUGAUAGACCUCGGACCAACACUGAAUGGAGUAAAAAUAAAAGGAAGGAAUGCCGAUUAGCAUAUAAGUUUCCCAACUCUCCGGAGGUUCUUUUGCUCGUAUUUGCCUAUCUUGUUUCUAGAUUAUGAUUCUCCUCCUUUCUUCUGCCUUUAUUGCUGAUGCAGUUGGGCUCAAAGAGAUGAUGUUUUGGAGGUUGCUGACCUGAUGCAACAGAUGGGACAAGGAGUUCUACACAUAAAUGUUUGGUGUAAAGCUGGAGACAUGCAAGUAUGUACAUGAUAAUCUAUCUACAACUUUGGCUGCAUUUAUAUUGGUAUUUUGAGGUCUCUGAAUGCCUGGAGAUGGAUAUGUUAAUAUUAUUUUUUACUUUAUAUGCUGAUUCAGUGGCGGAUUUACCAUAGAAAAUAGGGUUCAUGUGAACACGUGGUCACCCCACCGAACUAGGUAUAUGAUGUACAUAAUUCUAAAAAUAUAUCCAGUAUUGUCUUAUUUGCCCCAUGAUCAAAAAAGAUUGAGUGGUGCAUGGGUUUGGUCGCUAGGGGUGUGUAUGAUUCCCCUAUUUUAUUACGGAUUUGCGAGGGUGUGAUGCCCAUAUAUUUGAAUGUGGAAGGGGUGUGAUUCCUCUAUUUUUAUUAUGAAUUUGCAAGGAUGUGAUUUUCUUUUU